ensembl:lncRNA
GGCUGGGUCUGUUGAGAGAUUCUGCAAUAGUCUUGGUUUGAUGCUUAGGAGUUUAGACUUAGACUCAAACCUUGCUUGGUGAAGAGUUUUUGCUGGGACCAUUGAUCUACUUGCGGGCCCGUCUCCAGCUUCAUCUCUCAUCACUGACUCCCUGAUGCUCCCUGGCUGCCUUGCUAUUCCCAGGACCAGAGACCAGCAGGCAAAUGGACAGAUGGACGGGCGGAUGGAUGAAUCAGUGGAUGGACGGACAGGAGGAGGUGGAAAAGUGAGGCCCAGAGACGCAAAGGAGGUUGUCUUUCCAGCGGGGUGCAGGGACCCAGCAUCCCACAGUCUGCCUGGCUCGCUCAGGGUGACCAGCUCCUGCUCCACGUCCCAGGAAAAGUACUGAGUCGCUCAGUUGUGUCCGACUCUGUGCAACCCCAUGGACUGUAGCCCACCAGGCUCCUCUGUCCAUGGGAUGCUCCAGGCCUGUGCCCACCUGCUUUUGACACUGGACACUUGGCUACUUCUGUUCACAUCUGCUGCUACCACCCUGACCUAAACCGUCAUCUUUUGCCUAGAAUAUUCCAGUCUCCUCACUAGUCUCCCUGUUUACCUUCGGCCCCACUUCACCCAGAGGAAUCCUAUUAAAUCCAAGUCAGGCCAUGGCCUUCCUCACUCAGACCCUCCAGGGACUUCCCAUCUCACUCUGAGUGAAAGCACAAGCCCACAUCCCCUACAAGCCCCACUUAAUCCCCGUCACCCGGUCCCUGACCUCCUGUCCUGCGUCUCUCCCCCUCUUCACCGUGUUCCAGCCACUCUGGACACAGUGUUCCUCCAGUCCCCUCGGCGGCUGACUCAGUGGCUUUGCACGAGCUGUUCCCUGCACUAGGAAUCCUCUCC